UACGUAGGGGCAAGCGUUGUCCGGAAUCAUUGGGCGUAAAGAGCGUGUAGGCGGCCCGGUAAGUCCGCUGUGAAAGUCCAGGGCUCAACCCUGGGAUGCCGGUGGAUACUGGUCGGGCUCGAGUCCGGAAGAGGAGUGUGGAAUUCCGUGGUGUAGCGGUGAAAUGCGGCAAGAUAUCAGGAGGAACACCAAUGGCGAAGGC
rnacentral:rRNA from 1 species